UCUGGAACAAGAGUAUGCGCUAUUAGAUGACGCAAUUUUCUGCCUGACUAACAAGCGAAGUGAUUUGUGACUUAUCAACAAACUGACUGAUUGAUUGACAAGGUGACUGGAUGAAUUACUGGCUGGAUGACCAUUUAACUGACCAAAUGACAGAUAGAUUGACAGACGGAAUGACUGAUUGAUAAACUAAUUGGCGGACAGACGGACGGACUGACUAAACUGACUGACUGAAUGGCUAAAAGAUUGACCGCCUAAAUGACUGAUUGAUUGACUGACUAAAUGACAGACUAACUGAUUGACUGACUUUCUAAAUGAUUGACUAACAAAAUGACUGAAUGAGUGUCAUGUCUUACGGUCCACGGAGAGAGGCUGUAUCAGUAAUGCUGAGCAAUGUUUUGUGCUGUUCACAUAGGACUUCACAGGUACUUUCUUGUUACCCAAUACCUGUUCUCUUAACAAUAAGAUACUUUGUCUAGCCUUAGAUUGACUGCCUAAAUGACUGACUGACUGACUGUCUAAAUGACGGACUAACUGAUUGACUGACUUUCUAAAUGAUUGACUAACAAAAUGACUGACUGAAUGAGUGUCCUGUUUUACGAUCCAUGGAGAGAGGCUGUAUCAGUAAUGGUUAGCAAUGUUUUGUGCUGUUCACAUAGGACUUCACAGGUGCUUUCUUGUUACCCAAUACCUGUACUCUUAACAAUAAGAUACUUUGUCUAGCCUUAGAUUGACUGCCUAAAUGACUGACUGACUGACUGUCUAAAUGACGGACUAACUGAUUGACUGACUUUCUAAAUAAUUGACUAACAAAAUGACUGACUGAAUGAGUGUCCUGUCUUACGGUCCACGGAGAGAGGCUGUAUCAGUAAUGCUGAGCAAUGUUUUGUGCUGUUCACAUAGGACCUCACAGGGACACAGCUAUUCUUUGACAAGAACUGUCCAGUGGAAUGGCGGACCGCGGGGUGCAUGGAGAAAUUGUGCAGGCUAUCUUGGCUGAGGCUGACAAUAUACUGACUACUUACUAAUACAAAUCUCAAAGAGAAGGGGCAACAACCACGUUUUCACUACAAGUACCAGAACUAAAACUUGAGCUCUCUUAGAUUUAAAACACCUUUAAGAGCACAUCCUCUGACAGUUUAGGUAUGUUCCUAUUGAAUAUACUAUACCGAGUAAUGAUCAAUCAAAGUUCCUAGUUACUAUUGAAUAUACUAUACUGAGGAAACCUCAAUCAAAGUUCGUACCUGAAUGUCCGUCUAAUUUCUGCACGACCUCUUUUGACUGCAGAUUCCAUAUAUAAACCUUGUGGUCUUCUGAGCCUGAUACGAUCCACUGAAAUAUAAAACAAAUCUGUUUGAAUAUCCCUUAUGGACAUAACCGAUUAACUUACUUCUUUGCUAGUGUUUGCAUUAGAAAGUAUGAAACUGUAUAUGUAAAGGAAAACUUUCAAGGAUGCUUCAUUCUUGAAGCAUUUUUGCAAUCAGACUGCUUGUUUUUUUUUUUUAAUGAGAAGGAGUGGUUGGUCGGUAUUCUUUACUGUAAUUCAGUAUAAGCUUGUGUUCUUCAAUGGCUAAUUUUUGUCAAACAAACAAAUAAAAAAAAACAGAGGGGCCUGCAAUGCAUUUUAGGGUGAAACAGCACUGAAUUUUCUGCAAUUUUUCGUCAUCUUAGUAGGGUACUUCUAAGAUAAAAAGAUACUUUACCUAACUUUACCUACCUUUCCUCCUGUUACAGAAAAGUUGGCAAACACACAGUAUUUCUCAUUUUUAUGACCAGUGUAUGUCUUCAAACACUGAAAUCAAGCAAAUAGCAUUGGUUCCGACAAAAAAGGUGGAAUGCAUGUAUCACCAAUGAAUAAUUCAUUCACUAAUCAACAAAUCAUAAAUAAAGAUGGGCAUCCUACUGUACUCACUUUUCCUUUGCUGUAAUCCCAAAGUUUUAAUGUGCUAAAACAAGAGAAAGAACAGCAAUUCUAAGUCUCUUUCAAUUAGCAAUCCUGCAAUGGUUUUCAUGUCAUAAAUAAUAACGAUGGCUGUGGUAAAAUGUAAUGAAAUUAGGGUCUAAAGGAAAGCAACAACAAUAGCCAGGACAACAAGAUGAAAAAUGUGUUUGCACUUACCGUUCCAAACUAUGUAGUAGCAACGAGAAAGAACAGACGAAAAUAAACUAAGGACACUAUUUUUACAAAGUAACAAGCAUAUUGGGAGAAGUUUCAAUGCCUAUGGAAAGAUUUGAUGAACUGGUUUGGUGGAAAACAUCUAAAAUUUGUCAGACAAAAUGUGACUGUGCAUAUCUAUUAAAUUCUUCUUUUUUGGUACUGCC